GCGCCAGUAGCUCAGCUGGAUAGAGCAACUGCCUUCUAAGCAGUAGGUCGCAGGUUCGAAUCCUGCCUGGCGCACCA
rnacentral:tRNA from 1 species